rnacentral:rRNA from 1 species
AUUGAACGCUGGCGGCAUGCCUUACACAUGCAAGUCGAACGGCAGCGCGGACUUCGGUCUGGCGGCGAGUGGCGAACGGGUGAGUAAUACAUCGGAACGUACCCUGUUGUGGGGGAUAACUAGUCGAAAGAUUAGCUAAUACCGCAUACGACCUGAGGGUGAAAGUGGGGGACCGCAAGGCCUCACGCGGCAGGAGCGGCCGAUGUCCGAUUAGCUAGUUGGUGGGGUAAAGGCCCACCAAGGCGACGAUCAGUAGCUGGUCUGAGAGGACGAUCAGCCACACUGGGACUGAGACACGGCCCAGACUCCUACGGGAGGCAGCAGUGGGGAAUUUUGGACAAUGGGGGCAACCCUGAUCCAGCAAUGCCGCGUGUGUGAAGAAGGCCUUCGGGUUGUAAAGCACUUUUGUCCGGAAAGAAAUCGCGCUGGUUAAUACCUGGCGUGGAUGACGGUACCGGAAGAAUAAGCACCGGCUAACUACGUG